AUUGAACGCUAGCGGGAUGCCUUACACAUGCAAGUCGAACGAGUGGCGGACGGGUGAGUAAUAUAUCGGAACGUGCCCAGUAGAGGGGGAUAACUACUCGAAAGAGUGGCUAAUACCGCAUACUCUUGGAGCGGCCGCUAGUGGAUUAGCUAGUUGGUGGGGUAAAGGCUCACAAAGGCCACGAUCCGUAGCUGGUUUGAGAGGACGACCAGCCACACUGGGACUGAGACAAGGCGCAGACUCCUACGUGAGGCAGCAGUGGGGAAUUUUGGACAAUGGGGGAAAGCCUGAUCCAGCCAGCCCGAGUGUAUGAGAAGGCCUUCGGGUUGUAAAGUACUGUCGGCAGGGAAGCGGUAUCUGCAGAAUAAGCACCGGCUAACUACGUGCCAGCAGCCGCGGUAAUUC
rnacentral:rRNA from 1 species